rnacentral:rRNA from 1 species
GACGAACCGUACGAACGUUAUUCGGAAUUACUGGGCGUAAAGGGCGCGUAGGCGGUUCGUUAAGUCCUGUGUGAAAUCCCCCGGCUCAACUGGGGAACUGCACAGGAAACUAGCGGGCUUGAGUUCGGGAGAGGGAAGCGGAAUUCCGGGUGUAGCGGUGAAAUGCGUAGAUAUCCGGAGGAACACCGGUGGCGAAGGCGGCUUCCUGGACCGACACUGACGCUGAGGCGCGAAAGCUAGGGGAGCAAACAGG